GAUCCUCUCUGUUGUGAUUCAUCCCCCCGGGGCCCUACAGUUUCUCCUUCCUGACUCUUACAUUUCUUUGGAUGGCAUCAUUAUUCCUAUUCAACGUGAAAAAGAUGAGGAUGAAGACCUUUAUUAUGAUCCACUUCCAAGUAAUGAACACACUGGAGAAAGUCAGACAGUCAAAACAAUGUCCCAGACUCCGUGAAGUUCCUGGGUAGAGAAGGAGACAGACAUAUACCAUACCUAAUAAUUGGAUGUCCGAGAGAAUGAGAGAAUGGCAGAAAGAACUUUAGAGCAUGGGUAUGAUGGCUAGAGCUUGAGCAGCCAUUGUGGACAUCAGAUGAACUUGAAAGUGAAAACUAUGAGCUGAAUACGACAAAGCAAACAGAUAGAAAACUGGAUUCAUUAUGACAUUGCAAAGCUGCCAGACCAGCUCUAGUCUGCUUCCCCCUAAUCUUCCUUACUAAGAGAGAGAAAUAAACUUCCAUCUUCUUCAAGCC
rnacentral:lncRNA from 10 species